GACGAACGCUGGCGGCGUGCUUAACACAUGCAAGUCGAACGGUGAAGCGCCUUCCUUUUUGGUGGGUGUGGAUGAGUGGCGAACGGGUGAGUAACACGUGAGUAACCUGCCCCCUUCUUCUGGAUAACCGCAUGAAAGUGUGGCUAAUACGGGAUAUUCUGGGUCUGUCGCAUGAUGGGUCUGGGAAAGAUAUUGUUUCGGUGGGGGAUGGGCUCGCGGCCUAUCAGCUUGUUGGUGGGGUGAUGGCCUACCAAGGCGGUGACGGGUAGCCGGCCUGAGAGGGUGGACGGUCACACUGGGACUGAGACACGGCCCAGACUCCUACGGGAGGCAGCAGUGGGGAAUAUUGCACAAUGGGCGCAAGCCUGAUGCAGCGACGCCGCGUGAGGGAUGGAGGCCUUCGGGUCGUGAACCUCUUUCGCCAGUGAAGCAGGCCUGCCUCGUUUGUGGGUGGGUUGACGGUAGCUGGAUAAGAAGCGCCGGCUAACUACGCG
rnacentral:rRNA from 1 species